rnacentral:rRNA from 1 species
UACGUAGGUGGCGAGCGUUGUCCGGAUUUAUUGGGCGUAAAGCGCGUGCAGGUGGUUGGUUAAGGCCGAUGUGAAAUCUCCCGGCUCACCUGGGAGGGUGCGUUGGCGACUGGCCGACUGGAGGCAGGUAGAGGCCGGUGGAAUUCCCGGUGUAGUGGUGAAAUGCGUAGAUAUCGGGAGGAACACCAGUGGCGAAAGCGGCGGGCUGGGCCUGUCCUGACGCUGAGACGCGAAAGCGUGGGGAGCGAACCGG